AGCGAACGUUAGCGGCGCGCCUAACACAUGCAAGUCGCACGAGAAAGGGCUUCGGCCCCGGUACAGUGGCGCACGGGUGAGUAACACGUGGGUAACCUUCCCCAGAGUGGUGGAUAACCUGCCGAAAGGCGGGCUAAUACAGCAUACGACCGGUUGUCUUCGGGCGCUUGGUGAAAGCAGGCCUCUGUAUACAAGCUUGCGCUCUAGGAUGGGCCCGCGUCCCAUCAGCUAGUUGGUGAGGUAACGGCUCACCAAGGCUACGACGGGUAGCUGGUCUGAGAGGAUGGCCAGCCACACUGGAACUGAGACACGGUCCAGACUCCUACGGGAGGCAGCAGUGGGGAAUCUUGCGCAAUGGACGAAAGUCUGACGCAGCGACGCCACGUGGGCGACGAAGGCCUUCGGGUUGUAAAGCCCUGUGGGGCGGGACGAACACACUCUAUUCGAACAGGGUAGGGUGCUGACGGUACCGCCUUAGCAAGCACCGGCUAACUCUGUGCCAGCCGCCGCGGUAAAAC
rnacentral:rRNA from 1 species